AACGAACGCUGGCGGCAUGCCUAACACAUGCAAGUCGAACGAGAUCUUCGGGUCUAGUGGCGCACGGGUGCGUAACGCGUGGGAAUCUGCCCUUCGGUUCGGAAUAACAGUUGGGAAGGACGGCUAAUACCGGAUGAUGACGAAAGUCCAAGAUUUAUCGCCAGAGGAUGAGCCCGCGUAGGAUUAGCUAGUUGGUGUGGUAAAGGCGCACCAAGGCGACGAUCCUUAGCUGGCCUGAGAGGAUGAUCAGCCACACUGGGACUGAGACACGGCCCAGACUCCUACGGGAGGCAGCAGUGGGGAAUAUUGGACAAUGGGCGAAAGCCUGAUCCAGCAAUGCCGCGUGAGUUAUGAAGGCCUUAGGGUUGUAAAGCUCUUUUACCCGGGAUGAUAAUGACAGUACCGGGAGAAUAAGCUCCGGCUAACUCCGUGCCAGCCGCCGCGGUAA
rnacentral:rRNA from 1 species